rnacentral:tRNA from 1 species
GCCGGAGUGGCGGAAUUGGCAUACGCGCACGACUCAAAAUCGUGUUCCGCAAGGAAUGUGGGUUCGAUUCCCACCUUCGGCA